AGGGUCACAGGUAUUUCUACAAUGUA
rnacentral:misc_RNA from 1 species